rnacentral:rRNA from 1 species
UACAGGGGGUGCAAACGUUGCUCGGAAUUAUUGGGCGUAAAGCGCGCGUAGGCGGCCGCUUAAGUCGGAUGUGAAAGCCCCUGGCUCAACUGGGGAAGUGCACCCGAAACUGAGUGGCUUGAGUACUAAAGAGGGUCGCGGAAUUCCCGGUGUAGAGGUGAAAUUCGUAGAUAUCAAGAGGAACACCUGAGGUGAAGACGGGUUGCUGGGCUGACACUGACGCUGAUGCGCGAAAGCCAGGGGAGCAAACGGG